CGGACGGGUGAGUAACGCGUGAACAAUCUACCUCCAAGUGGGGAAUAGCUCGUCGAAAGGCGAAUUAAUACCGCAUACGGUUGGCACUCUCAUGAGUGCCAUACCAAAGUCGGGGACCGCAAGGCCCGACGCUAGGAGAGGAGUUCGCGGCCUAUCAGCUAGUUGGUGAGGUAACGGCCCACCAAGGCUAAGACGGGUAGCCGGUCUGAGAGGAUGAUCGGCCACACUGGAACUGAGACACGGUCCAUACACCUACGGGUGGCAGCUAUUUCAAAUCAUUCACAAUGGGCCAAAUCCU
rnacentral:rRNA from 1 species